AUGCAGGAUAAAAACAUGCCGCUGAACCUCAUACCUGCCACUGGAAUGAAGUUCACCACGUACGACAAGGCAUGGGACUUUUACAACAAUUAUGCAAGAUGUGCAGGGUUUGGCAUACGCAAGAGGGCAAAACACAGGAGAAAGGCCUACAUUGUCUGCUCAAGAGAAGGGACGCACAAGCAGACUGUGUCAGAUUAUCACCGAAAACAUCAGAAGACAUAAAAAAGGAUUGACUGCAAGGCAAAGAUUAGAGCCAAAAAGAGGAAGGAUGGCAAAUUUGUGAUAGAAAUGGUUGAACUCAACCACAAUCAGAAGAUGCUGGAAAGCCCCGAGAUGCUUUUGCACAUGCGAUCGCACAAAAAAGAUGACCCUUUGAUAGACCAGUUAGUGAAAGACAUGCAACUGGACAACCACCCACACACUCAGAUGAUGUCAACGCUGUCGUGUACGUCCGGUGGUCUACAGUACAUGGGACAUACUAGCCGCGACUGGGUAAACACGAAACAAAAGUUUGCCAGAGAAGAGUCCCAAGAUGACGUCAAGAAACUUUUGGAUUUCUUUGAGAAGAUGCAGAAGAUAAACCUAGAGUUCUUCCAUGAUUAUGACGUUGAUGCAGAUAACAGUGUAAGAAACGUCUUUGCCAACGCAAGUUGCAAAGGAUCGUAUGAAGAUUUUGGAGACUGCGUUACAUUUGACACGACAUACAAAACUAACAAAUUCCACAUGCCGUUGGGAGUCUUCGUGGGAGUGAACCAUCAUCUAUAGAGCACCAUAUUUGCUAUUGCCCUCAUGCAAGAUGAAACAAUACCAUCGUUCGAGUGGGUUUUCAAAACAUUUCUAAGGUGUAUGAACAACAAGCCGCCAAUCUGCAUGCUCACAGACCAGUGUUCUUCGAUGAAGGCAGCAUUAAAUACUAUCUUCCCAGAUACACUGCAUAAGUUGUGUCGGUGGCAUAUCAUGAAGAAGUACAAAGACCACCUCGCCUUGUUGUAUAAGGCGCACGAGAAACUCAAGGAUGACCUCAAUGCGGUGCUGAACCACCCACUAAUGCCGUCAGAAUUUGAACGAGCAUGGAAGGACCUCAUUCAGAGAUACAACUUGCUAAACGACGAAGUGAUGAAUUAG
rnacentral:rRNA from 1 species